rnacentral:rRNA from 2 species
UUAAGCGACUAAGCGUACACGGUGGAUGCCCUGGCAGUCAGAGGCGAUGAAGGACGUGCUAAUCUGCGAUAAGCGCCGGUAAGGUGAUAUGAACCGUUAUAACCGGCGAUUUCCGAAUGGGGAAACCCAGUGUGAUUCGUCACACUAUCAUUAACUGAAUCCAUAGGUUAAUGAGGCGAACCGGGGGAACUGAAACAUCUAAGUACCCCGAGGAAAAGAAAUCAACCGAGAUUCCCCCAGUAGCGGCGAGCGAACGGGGAGGAGCCCAGAGCCUGAAUCAGCAUGUGUGUUAGUGGAAGCGUCUGGAAAGGCGCGCGAUACAGGGUGACAGCCCCGUACACAAAAGCGCAUGUGCUGUGAGCUCGAUGAGUAGGGCGGGACACGUGGUAUCCUGUCUGAAUAUGGGGGGACCAUCCUCCAAGGCUAAAUACUCCUGACUGACCGAUAGUGAACCAGUACCGUGAGGGAAAGGCGAAAAGAACCCCGGCGAGGGGAGUGAAAAAGAACCUGAAACCGUGUACGUACAAGCAGUGGGAGCACCCUUCGGGGUGUGACUGCGUACCUUUUGUAUAAUGGGUCAGCGACUUAUAUUCUGUAGCAAGGUUAACCGUAUAGGGGAGCCGGAGGGAAACCGAGUCUUAAUUGGGCGUUAAGUUGCAGGGUAUAGACCCGAAACCCGGUGAUCUAGCCAUGGGCAGGUUGAAGGUUGGGUAACACUAACUGGAGGACCGAACCGACUAAUGUUGAAAAAUUAGCGGAUGACCUGUGGCUGGGGGUGAAAGGCCAAUCAAACCGGGAGAUAGCUGGUUCUCCCCGAAAGCUAUUUAGGUAGCGCCUCGUGAAUUCAUCUCCGGGGGUAGAGCACUGUUUCGGCUAGGGGGCCAUCCCGGCUUACCAACCCGAUGCAAACUGCGAAUACCGGAGAAUGUUAUCACGGGAGACACACGGCGGGUGCUAACGUCCGUCGUGAAGAGGGAAACAACCCAGACCGCCAGCUAAGGUCCCAAAGUCAUGGUUAAGUGGGAAACGAUGUGGGAAGGCCCAGACAGCCAGGAUGUUGGCUUAGAAGCAGCCAUCAUUUAAAGAAAGCGUAAUAGCUCACUGGUCGAGUCGGCCUGCGCGGAAGAUGUAACGGGGCUAAACCAUGCACCGAAGCUGCGGCAGCGAACGUAUCACCCAAGACAACUUUACGGAGUUGACGAUUGACGGAGCGAAGCGACGUCAAAGCGUUCAUUAAAGUCGAGUUGGCUUAGGGAUACGUUCGUUGGGUAGGGGAGCGUUCUGUAAGCCUGUGAAGGUGUGUCGUGAGGCAUGCUGGAGGUAUCAGAAGUGCGAAUGCUGACAUAAGUAACGAUAAAGCGGGUGAAAAGCCCGCUCGCCGGAAGACCAAGGGUUCCUGUCCAACGUUAAUCGGGGCAGGGUGAGUCGACCCCUAAGGCGAGGCCGAAAGGCGUAGUCGAUGGGAAACGGGUUAAUAUUCCCGUACUUGGUGUUACUGCGAAGGGGGGACGGAGAAGGCUAUGUUGGCCGGGCGACGGUUGUCCCGGUUUAAGCGUGUAGGUGUGUGUUCCAGGUAAAUCCGGUUCACUUUAACACUGAGGCGUGACGACGAGGCACUACGGUGCUGAAGCAACAAAUGCCCUGCUUCCAGGAAAAGCCUCUAAGCAUCAGGUAACACGAAAUCGUACCCCAAACCGACACAGGUGGUCAGGUAGAGAAUACCAAGGCGCUUGAGAGAACUCGGGUGAAGGAACUAGGCAAAAUGGUGCCGUAACUUCGGGAGAAGGCACGCUGACACGUAGGUGAAGUGAUUUACUCAUGGAGCUGAAGUCAGUCGAAGAUACCAGCUGGCUGCAACUGUUUAUUAAAAACACAGCACUGUGCAAACACGAAAGUGGACGUAUACGGUGUGACGCCUGCCCGGUGCCGGAAGGUUAAUUGAUGGGGUCAGCGUAAGCGAAGCUCCUGAUCGAAGCCCCGGUAAACGGCGGCCGUAACUAUAACGGUCCUAAGGUAGCGAAAUUCCUUGUCGGGUAAGUUCCGACCUGCACGAAUGGCGUAAUGAUGGCCAGGCUGUCUCCACCCGAGACUCAGUGAAAUUGAACUCGCUGUGAAGAUGCAGUGUACCCGCGGCAAGACGGAAAGACCCCGUGAACCUUUACUAUAGCUUGACACUGAACAUUGAGCCUUGAUGUGUAGGAUAGGUGGGAGGCUUUGAAGUGUGGACGCCAGUCUGCAUGGAGCCGACCUUGAAAUACCACCCUUUAAUGUUUGAUGUUCUAACGUGGACCCGUAAUCCGGGUUGCGGACAGUGUCUGGUGGGUAGUUUGACUGGGGCGGUCUCCUCCUAAAGAGUAACGGAGGAGCACGAAGGUUGGCUAAUCCUGGUCGGACAUCAGGAGGUUAGUGCAAUGGCAUAAGCCAGCUUGACUGCGAGCGUGACGGCGCGAGCAGGUGCGAAAGCAGGUCAUAGUGAUCCGGUGGUUCUGAAUGGAAGGGCCAUCGCUCAACGGAUAAAAGGUACUCCGGGGAUAACAGGCUGAUACCGCCCAAGAGUUCAUAUCGACGGCGGUGUUUGGCACCUCGAUGUCGGCUCAUCACAUCCUGGGGCUGAAGUAGGUCCCAAGGGUAUGGCUGUUCGCCAUUUAAAGUGGUACGCGAGCUGGGUUUAGAACGUCGUGAGACAGUUCGGUCCCUAUCUGCCGUGGGCGCUGGAGAACUGAGGGGGGCUGCUCCUAGUACGAGAGGACCGGAGUGGACGCAUCACUGGUGUUCGGGUUGUCAUGCCAAUGGCACUGCCCGGUAGCUAAAUGCGGAAGAGAUAAGUGCUGAAAGCAUCUAAGCACGAAACUUGCCCCGAGAUGAGUUCUCCCUGAGACUUAGAGUCUCCUGAAGGAACGUUGAAGACGACGACGUUGAUAGGCCGGGUGUGUAAGCGCAGCGAUGCGUUGAGCUAACCGGUACUAAUGAACCGUGAGGCUUAACCUU